rnacentral:lncRNA from 1 species
AAUUAUUGGUAACAAAUCAAUAAUAAAGUUUUAAAACAAAUAAAUCAAAAACAAAACCGAAAAAAAAAAUUCGAAUUAUAUAAUUUAUAAAAUUUUCUGAAAUAAAAACAUAAAAAUAAGAAAACAAAGUCUUCGAAAAUUAAGGAAACAAAAUGGAAGAUAAAAAUUGGAAACAAAAUAGCCGGAAAAAAGGUAACAUUUUCGGAUAUAUAUACUUAGAAAAAAUCAAGGGAUAAAACAAUAAAAACAUUAAACCCCUAAAAAUCGGCCCACUCUUUACCCACCAAUAAAACCAGUUUUUUACCAAGUGUCCUGGACACCUG